GCUAAGCUGGAAUCCGUGUGGUUUGGGAACCCCUGCCUCCUCGGCCUCAGCCUGCUCUGCCAUCCUUUCUCCCCCGCCUCCCCGGGCUGGGGCCCCCAUCUUAGGCUAUACUCCACUACUUCUCACCCCCAUGGCAAUGGUGGUGAGGACAGAAUGUACCCCAGCACUGGUUUAGUCUGCCCAAGAGCUUUUCAUACACCCAGCAGAGAGGCAGAAAGCAGAACCACACUAUGAGUGAGCUUUUAUGCCAGGAACACAGCCAUUUUCACUACUGCUGUUCUGGAAUGGCUGCUUCCAGCCUCCCCCACCCCCACCCCCAGUGAAUGGUAGAAAGUUAUUCAUCCUUGAAAAAGAGGAAUGCAAGGGCUGAGGAGGUGUUUCUGUGACUGAAAUGAUUGCCGUGCAAGCAUGACAUGAACUCCGAUCCCCAUAGCUCACUCAGAGCCUGGUGCAGCAGUCAGACACUUAUGGACUCUCCAUGCUGCUUUGUCAAGAUGGCAUGUGGAAACAAAAGGAUGCUGGAGCCCACAGGCCAGCUACCCUGGCCUGUACAACACAAACAGUAAAAGACCCUGUCAAACAAGGAGCAAGGUAAGGCAAAGCCAACACCUGAGUGGACACCCUCGUUCUACAAACACAUAUACAUUAAGAUUGUGUGGGUGUGUAUGUGUGUGUGUGUAUGUGUGUAUAUGAAAUCCUUGCAACUUGUGAAAAUAUGAACGAGACUGAAGGGCAUAAUAACGUUGUGUGAUAAAAGCCAGUCUCCACAAUACAAACAUUACCUGCUUCACACCCAUGCAGCGUCUAAAACAAUUGAACUCACAGGAACUCAUAGAGAAGAGUAGUUAUAAGCGCUCUGGAGCUGGGACCCAUAAAGCUGUUGGUCACAGGGCACACAUUUGUAACCCUCCUGCCUGGUGUUUCUGCCAUUGUAUUUUAAAACUGUCUUUAUGGCCUUCACAUUCUCUUACCGUGAACCCUUCAUCAGAUGCUUACUUGCCAUGAUAGACCAUGGAAUUUGAAGUAAUCUAAAUUGUCUUCCUGGGUCACGGUGCCUCAUAUUUAGCUUCAGAAUAAACUGUCUCUUUGAGUUGGGAAUUGUGUUUUUGAAUCAACAAACACAUCUAUAUGCCAGGCAACGUGUUAGGUGAGCAGACUGUAAAACCAAACAAACUCUGCAUGGACUCCAUCCAAGAGGCCAUAGCUCCUCUAUCGGGGAGCUGAUGUUUAAAUAAUGUUAAUAUUUAACAUGAAUGGUAAUGUUAAUUAUUAUGAUUGUUAGUUUAUAAUAAUCAUGACGCAUUUCACUGACUGGGGGGAAAUAACUUGGAUCUUGUAUAAACUCGUAAAGAAGCAUCAAAUAUAUAAACCAAAUCUGGCAGAAUUACAAGGGAGGAUUGACAACUUGUUUUGUUUUCUUCAGAGUAGUAGAAGGCUUGACAUGUUUAUGUGAAACUUAUACAUCAAAGAGAUUAAAACUUACAAAGGACACAGAGAAUCUGACAGUGCAAUGACACCUUGGUAUUUUUGCUUCUGUUUUUAGACAGGGCGUCUCUAUGUAUCCCAGGCUGGCCUGGAACUCACUGUGUACCCCAGAUUCCUACCCAAAUCUCAAGCAUCCCAAGUGCUGAAAUUACAGUGUGUGCCCAAUUUCCCAUUGAUCAUUGUCAGAGGUGCAGCAACUGUCACCCAUGCAUAAAGAUAGCAGUACAGGAGUCCUUCAAAUCAAAGCAGGGAACAGCAUCAGUGAUGUUUUCUUGUCUUCUUGGAAUUUUGCCUCAAAUUGGAUUUUCUUGUCUCUCUUUUUAUGGGAAAGGUUCCUACCACAUUCUGUCCACUGGAAAGUGAGAUACUGCAUAGGGCCAAAAAGAUACAUAUAUUUCUAACAGCUAUACCAAAUAAUUUAGAGGAACAAAAAUUUCCCUGGAGCCAAUUCUAAACAGCACUAUAAAACCAAGAGCCUCCAGAAUGUCCCCAAUGUCCCCAGAUUCACAGUGACAGAACCCUAUGGUACAAUGCAAACUGGCAGGAAGCAGAGUGUGGAGAGCUAAGGAAAGCAUGUUCUCUUUGUUGGUGGUGAUAUCACACACACACACACACACACACACACACAGAGAGAGAGAGAGAGAGAGAGAGAGAGAGAGAGAGAGAGAGAGAGAGAGAGAGAGAACCAAAGGGGUGGGAGUCAGGUCAUUCCAGAUAGGCUCUGUCUUUAGUACCUGACUGCCCCCAGUCAGCAGUUGGUUUCAGGUAAGUUACAUUCUAUGUUUCUCACCCCCAGGCUGUCUAACUCCCCCAACCCUGUUUCUUUGCAAAGAAAACUGCUAGUUAUUUCUCACUUGCAGGGUUGAGUUUUGAGGACAUGGAUCAGUAGGUGGAUUUUAAAUCGGAUCUACAUCCUGGCACUUCUUUAUCCUGAAAUAUAACAGUUGCUGUCCUUUAUUUAUUGGACUUCCUGACUAUGUAAGACAUUUUAAUUACAGUGCCAUCAUAGACUAUGUUAGAUAUGGCUCUUCUUCUGGUUAAAAAUAGUGUGUGCAAUGCGGCUGGCUUCAGAGAUGCUGCAUCUGGGCAGAUGACACUGUCAGGGGGAUGUGAACCAGGGAAAAGAAAUACAUCUGCUGAUCAUUGCAACCCACUGUAUAACCCUUAUAGCUGCACUGCUCAAGUCAAGACAGUAGAGGUGAGUCACACGGUCUCCCUGAGGCUUCGGAAAAUGAGCGUGUUUAACCAAGGAUUCGCACAUAAGGCUGUGCGCCAUGCAGAGGCUUCUGCAAACACCUGAAUUGCGAAGAAGCUUGAGACUGCAGAAAGCAUGAGUUUGAGCAGAAGUCUGGCCUCGGCUUGUUCCAGGAACUGCCUCUCCCCAAAACUGUCCUGUUAUUCCUUCACUGCCAUUGGUUGGGCUCAGUUCCUAGAGAAACUUAUUAGAUGACCAACCUUAAAACACUAGCAAUUUCCAGAAUCUGGAGAGUUCGUGUUCUGCCCAUAUGUGUGUCUCUUUAUAGGCGUGCUUUAGGGCACAUUCAAGAUGCUUGGAUCAUGUUCAAACCUGAUUGAUAAAGCUCUGAAGAGAAAACACUAUCUGUCUUUUUCCUUUUGAGAUUAAAUUAAGAGUGGCCUUUAAAAUACCUGCUUUACAGACCAGCACUACCAACUUUGUAUUUUCCCUUUUCAAUAGUGGAUUGCCUUUAGCUAGUCUCUAGUAUUAAUUCAGAUAUAAAACCUCUACCCUGGAAGACACCAGGAGGACUACUCUUUAAAACAGCAUCCAUGACAGAUUUCUUUCUAGAUUAGGC
rnacentral:lncRNA from 1 species